AACGAACGCUGGCGGAAUGCCUAACACAUGCAAGUCGAACGAGAUCUUCGGGUCUAGUGGCGCACGGGUGCGUAACGCGUGGGAAUCUGCCCUUUGGUUCGGAAUAACAGUUGGAAACGACUGCUAAUACCGGAUGAUGACGAAGGUCCAAAGAUUUAUCGCCAGAGGAUGAGCCCGCGUAGGAUUAGCUAGUUGGUGUGGUAAAGGCGCACCAAGGCGACGAUCCUUAGCUGGUCUGAGAGGAUGAUCAGCCACACUGGGACUGAGACACGGCCCAGACUCCUACGGGAGGCAGCAGUGGGGAAUAUUGGACAAUGGGCGAAAGCCUGAUCCAGCAAUGCCGCGUGAGUGAUGAAGGCCUUAGGGUUGUAAAGCUCUUUUACCCGGGAUGAUAAUGACAGUACCGGGAGAAUAAGCUCCGGCUAACUCCGUGCCAGCCGCCGCGGUAA
rnacentral:rRNA from 1 species